rnacentral:lncRNA from 1 species
GUAAAAACUUGGAGAAGCUUCACUCUCAAGGUAGUGAUAUUGGGGGCUAAAGUGAGGAAUAAUUCUUCAUUUAUUAUGAGUUAUUUAUGAUUUCAUCAAUUUCAGCUAAUAAAGUGAUAAAAUAUUUCUCUAAAAUUUGAGAAUUUAUAUUUUAAAGCCUAGUUUUACCGAUUGACACCAUGCCCAAUGUUUUUGUCACUGGCUUCUUCCAAACCCAGUUGAAACAAGAGAUAUAGAUGUUACCCAGGGCAUAUUAAAAAUGGAUGAUGCUUAGGAUCACAAGGGGGAGUCCUGUUCACAUUCUAAAAUCAUGAUAAGGGACCAGAAGGAGAAGCCACUUGGUACAUACUGAUGCUUGGUGACACUUUAUAUAGACCCAUUAGAGAGAAACUAGAUUUGAGCAGCUCUCUUAUGGACUUUUCAACCUUUUGAGCCUAUUAAGCUGUAUUCAGAUUUUUGACAAAUAUCAUCUGAGGGAAGUUUCCAUUGUUUGCUUUGUUUUAUUUCUAGAUAAGAGACUUAUAGGUAAGAGCCUUGAAUUCCUGACUCUUUUUACCCUCAUAAACUUCACUGCAUAACCUAAAUAGAAAAGAAAUAUUUUAUGGGCAGCCAGCCAACUCCUAGUUUCUUUUCUGGGACUCUCCUGUGCCCACUAACUCUAAAGAGUCAAAAGGAACUUCUAAGAAAAAGCAAUCCUGUGAAGAGAUGCUCCUAAAGUCUCAGAAAGGGCCAAAGUCUGUCUUCUGGAAAAAAAUUUUAAAAAUAUAUACAUACACAGCCAUAGUCCCUCAAAGGUUUGAAACCUUCUAUAUUUCCUACAAAAAUUCAUCACUUUUCAGAGUUCUCAUUGUGGCUCAGUGUUAAUGAACUCAAGUGGUAUCCAAGAGGAUGCGUGUUUGAUCCCUGGCCUUGCUCAGUGAGUUAAGGAUCUCAUGUUGCCAUGAGCUCUGGUGUAGGUCACGGAUGUGGCUCAAAUCCAGUCUGUGGUCUAGGCCAGCAGCUGCAGUCUGAUUCAACCCCUGCCUGGGAACUUCCGUAUGCCAUAGGUGAAGCCCAAAAAAAUAUAUAAAAAAUUACUCUUCUAUUGUAAAAUCACCCUACUAAUAGAUAAGAUGAAAUAAUGUUCUACUUAUUCUCAGACCUUUUAUGUCUAUGUUAUUAGAUUGUUUUUAAUUUUUAUGGCAACCUCUACUUUAGGUGACCAAACUACAUGACUAGCUAAGGUUAGAAAGACUGAAAUUUAGAAGUUUUUGUUUGAUAUUUCAUUCCCUUUGUGUCCUAAUUCCCAUUGUUAAUACCCUUCUGUCUCUUCUUAACCAGUUGUCUCAGAUAAACUUUAAUGGAUCAGAGUGCUCAGAAGUAUAUUGGGUUUGAAUUAAGGCACUGUAAUACACAACACACCAGACAAAAGCAACUCUUCUUGUAUCAGCAUUUGGAGUGAUUGCUUCUUGCCUCACUUUGCCCAGUGUGAACACCAGAAUUUUGAUACUAAUAGAAAAGGACUAAUCAUUCCAGUUAGUUUUAUGUUGAAAAUGCUAAGCUGUAUGUCUUGAGAGCACAUGAAAAUGUCCAAAUUAUUUGUUGAGAAUGACCAUUGAAUAAUUUUUGUAGUUCAUUUAAAUGAUUUUUUUCCAUUAUAGCUGGUUUACAGUGUUCUGUCCAUUUUCUACUGUACAGCAUGGCGACCCAGUCACAUAUACACAUUCCUUUUUGUCACAUUAUCAUACUCCAUUAUAAGUGACUAGAUAUAGUUUCCAUUGCUACACAGCAGGAUCUCAUUGCUUAUUCAUUCCACGGGCAAUAGUCUGCAUCUAUUAACCCCAGAUUCCCAGUCCCUCCCACUCCCUCUCCCUCCCUCUUGGCCAGCACAAGUCUGUUCUCCAUGUCCAUGAGUUUCUUUUCUGUGGAAAGGUUCAUUUGUACCUUAUAUUAGAUUCCAUAUAUGUGAUAUCAUAUGGUAUUUGUCUUUCUCUUUCUGACUUACUUCACUUAGUAUGAGAGUCUCUAGCUCCAUCCAUGUUGCUAUAAAUGGCUUUAAACACUGUUUAUUAUAAAAUUGUAUAUACAGCAUCAGAGAAAGAAAAGGCUUGGACUGUGAGCCUGUCCAGUUUUCUCUCUCAGAAAAAGAUAAACAGUGACAAUCAGACUGGGAAUGAGAAUUUCCUUUCACUUGAUCCACAUCCUCACCUGUGUGUUCUUCUGUAGCAUCCAGGUUCAGAUUCUCAGGCAAUCCACUGCUGUCCUGUGAUGUCCUGUGUCUUCCCUUAAGAUUCCACACAAAAUGUAAGCCCUUUUUUAGUCACUUUUCCAAAAUGCAUUCUUUAGUAAUGGGUUGUGCAUGUUCAUUCAUAUAGAAGAGCCAUGCGUAGCUUCUGCCCCAUCCUUUUAUCUGUGGCAUCUAAAGUGUUCUUUUCUGUUUUAGUGAUAUUUUCAUUCUGUAUGCAGAACUUUUCUGAAGGGAGGUGGGUUUUUCAAGUCAUUUCAGUGGACUCUACCUGCUUAGGUCUAAAGUGAAAGUGGAUCUCUCUUUUUUUUUUUUUUUUUUUUUGUGCUAUGUCUCCUCCUAGGUAACAUCUUUAUACCUUGCCCUGGUGAUGAUAACUGAAGAUGCUUCCACUCAAUCAUUUCAUAUUGAAUAUAAAAUAGAAUAAACACAUCUGUGACUACUAUACUAAAGACAGCUUAAACCACUGAAUCACCUUUCAUCAGCCAAAUUUUUGAGAGACAGACAAAGCAUUAUUACAGGGCAAAAUCGGCCAAUUAAAGCCAUUUACAUGGAGUUCCUCUCAGGCUUUGGCCACCUGUCCACAAUCCACACUUUGAGUAGCAGGACAUUAUAUCACUGACACAGCAAAUGCAAACUGCUUAGUGAAUAGUAGGUGGUCAAUAAGUGUUUAUCGCUUAAACACAAGUGAGGGGUUUCAUCUAAGGGAGUUCCUGUUGUGGUACAGUGGAAAUGAAUCUGACUAGGAACCAUGAGGUUGUGGGUUUGAUCCCUGGCCUUGCUCAGUGGGUUAAGGAUCCAGCAUUGCUAUGAGCUGUGGUGUAGUUUGAAGACACGGCUUGGAUCCUGCAUAGCUGUGGCUGUGGCGUAGGCCUGCAGCUACAGCUCUGAUUAGACCCCUAGCCUGGGAACCUCCGUAUGCCAUGGGUGCAGCCCUAAAAA